rnacentral:rRNA from 1 species
GACGAACGCUGGCGGCGUGCCUAAUACAUGCAAGUAGAACGCUGAAGGAGGAGCUUGCUUCUCUGGAUUAGUUGCGAACGGGUGAGUAACGCGUAGGUAACCUGCCUGGUAGCGGGGGAUAACUAUUGGAAACGAUAGCUAAUACCGCAUAAUAGCAGUUGUUGCAUGAUAACUGUUUGAAAGGUGCAAUUGCACCACUACCAGAUGGACCUGCGUUGUAUUAGCUAGUUGGUGGGGUAACGGCUCACCAAGGCGACGAUACAUAGCCGACCUGAGAGGGUGAUCGGCCACCCUGGGACUGGGACACGGCCCAGACUCCUACGGGAGGCAGCAGUAGGGAAUCUUCGGCAAUGGGCGGAAAUCUGACCGAACAACGCCGCGUGAGUGAAGAAGGUUUUCGGAUCGUAAAGCUCUGUUGUAAGAGAAGAACGAGUGUGAGAGUGGAAAGUUCACACUGUGACGGUAUCUUACCAGAAAGGGACGGCUAACUACGUG